GGACUCUAUCCUUCAUUCCACCGGAGUCUGUGUCUCUAACCAAUCAGAUUUCAGUGGUGUGAAGCAUAGAAGACA
rnacentral:pre_miRNA from 1 species